rnacentral:rRNA from 1 species
CGACGCCGCGUGAGGGAUGAAGGCCUUCGGGUUGUAAACCUCUUUCAGCAGGGAAGAAGCGAAAGUGACGGUACCUGCAGAAGAAGCGCCGGCUAACUACGUGCCAGCAGCCGCGGUAAUACGUAGGGCGCAAGCGUUGUCCGGAAUUAUUGGGCGUAAAGAGCUCGUAGGCGGUUUGUCGCGUCUGGUGUGAAAAACUCAAGGCUCAACCUUGAGCUUGCAUCGGGUACGGGCAGACUAGAGUGCGGUAGGGGAGACUGGAAUUCCUGGUGUAGCGGUGGAAUGCGCAGAUAUCAGGAGGAACACCGAUGGCGAAGGCAGGUCUCUGGGCCGCAACUGACGCUGAGGAGCGAAAGCAUGGGGAGCGAACAGGAUUAGAUACCCUGGUAGUCCAUGCCGUAAACGUUGGGCACUAGGUGUGGGGCUCAUUCCACGAGUUCCGUGCCGCAGCAAACGCAUUAAGUGCCCCGCCUGGGGAGUACGGCCGCAAGGCUA